GGCGUGGGGCAGCCUACCAUGCAGUCGAGCGGAACGAGUUAUCUGAACCUUCGGGGAACGAUAACGGCGUCGAGCGGCGGACGGGUGAGUAAUGCCUGGGAAAUUGCCCUGAUGUGGGGGAUAACCAUUGGAAACGAUGGCUAAUACCGCAUAAUAGCUUCGGCUCAAAGAGGGGGACCUUCGGGCCUCUCGCGUCAGGAUAUGCCCAGGUGGGAUUAGCUAGUUGGUGAGGUAAGGGCUCACCAAGGCGACGAUCCCUAGCUGGUCUGAGAGGAUGAUCAGCCACACUGGAACUGAGACACGGUCCAGACUCCUACGGGAGGCAGCAGUGGGGAAUAUUGCACAAUGGGCGCAAGCCUGAUGCAGCCAUGCCGCGUGUGUGAAGAAGGCCUUCGGGUUGUAAAGCACUUUCAGUCGUGAGGAAGGUAGUGUGUUUAAUAGAUGCAUUAUUUGACGUUAGCGACAGAAGAAGCACCGGCUAACUCCGUGCCAGCAGCCGCGGUAAUACGGAGGGUGCGAGCGUUAAUCGGAAUUACUGGGCGUAAAGCGCAUGCAGGUGGUGUGUUAAGUCAGAUGUGAAAGCCCGGGGCUCAACCUCGGAAUUGCAUUUGAAACUGGCAGACUAGAGUACUGUAGAGGGGGGUAGAAUUUCAGGUGUAGCGGUGAAAUGCGUAGAGAUCUGAAGGAAUACCGGUGGCGAAGGCGGCCCCCUGGACAGAUACUGACACUCAGAUGCGAAAGCGUGGGGAGCAAACAGGAUUAGAUACCCUGGUAGUCCACGCCGUAAACGAUGUCUACUUGGAGGUUGUGGCCUUGAGCCGUGGCUUUCGGAGCUAACGCGUUAAGUAGACCGCCUGGGGAGUACGGUCGCAAGAUUAAAACUCAAAUGAAUUUGACGGGGGCCCGCACAAGCGGUGGAGCAUGUGGUUUAAUUCGAUGCACGCGAAGAACCUUACCUACUCUUGACAUCCAGAAGAACUUUCCAGAGAUGGAUUGGUGCCUUCGGGAACUCUGAGACAGGUGCUGCAUGGCUGUCGUCAGCUCGUGUGUGAAUGUUGGGUUAAAGUCCCGCACGAGCGCAACCUUAUCCUUGUUGGCAGCCAGUAUGGUGGGUACUUCAGCAGACUGGCGGUGAAUACCGAGAUGGUGGAACGACGUCAGGUCACAAUGGCUCCUUUUCCGA
rnacentral:rRNA from 1 species